CCUACGGGGGGCAGCAGUGAGGAAUAUUGGUCAAUGGGCGAGAGCCUGAACCAGCCAAGUCGCGUGAAGGAUGACGGCCCUACGGGUUGUAAACUUCUUUUGUCAGGGAGCAAUUGGGUCCACGCGUUGGCUUAGCGAGAGUACCUGAAGAAAAAGCAUCGGCUAACUCCGUGCCAGCAGCCGCGGUAAUACGGAGGAUGCGAGCGUUAUCCGGAUUUUGUGGGUUUAAAGGGUGCGUAGGCGGGCUUUUAAGUCAGCGGUAAAAAUUCGGGGCUCAACCCCGUCCGGACGUUGAAACUGUUGGUCUUGAGUAUCGGAGAGGCAGGCGGAAUUCCUAGGGUAGCGGUGAAAUGCGUAGAUAUUAGGAGGAACACCAGUGGCGAAGGCGGCCUGCUGGACGACAACUGACGGUGAGGCGCGAAAGCGUGGGGAGCAAACAGGAUUAGAUACCCCUGUAGUC
rnacentral:rRNA from 1 species